UGGGGAAUAUUGCACAAUGGGCGCAAGCCUGAUGCAGCGACGCCGCGUGAGGGAUGACGGCCUUCGGGUUGUAAACCUCUUUCAGCAGGGACGAAGCGCAAGUGACGGUACCUGUAGAAGAAGCACCGGCCAACUACGUGCCAGCAGCCGCGGUAAUACGUAGGGUGCGAGCGUUGUCCGGAAUUACUGGGCGUAAAGAGCUCGUAGGUGGUUUGUCGCGUUGUUCGUGAAAACUCACAGCUUAACUGUGGGCGUGCGGGCGAUACGGGCAGACUGGAGUACUGCAGGGGAGACUGGAAUUCCUGGUGUAGCGGUGGAAUGCGCAGAUAUCAGGAGGAACACCGGUGGCGAAGGCGGGUCUCUGGGCAGUAACUGACGCUGAGGAGCGAAAGCGUGGGGAGCGAACA
rnacentral:rRNA from 1 species